rnacentral:misc_RNA from 1 species
AACUUUUAGCAAUGGAUCACUUGGCUCUCGCAUCGAUGAAGAACGCAGCGAAAUGCGAUACGUAAUGUGAAUUGCAGAAUUCAGUGAAUCAUCGACUCUUUGAACGCACCUUGCGCCCCUUGGAAUUCCGAGGGGCACACCCGUUUGAGUGUCGUGAACAUCCUUCAACCUUUCUUGGUUUCUUAACCGGGGAAGGCUUGGACUUUGGGGGUCUUUCAUUGCUGGCCUCUUUGAAGCCAGCUCCUCCUAAAUGGAUUAGUGUGGUCUGCUUUGCCGAUCCUUGACGUGAUAAGAUGUUUCUACGCCUUGGGUUUCGCACUGUCGCUUUAGACCCCGCUUCUAACCGUCUUGCAUUCAAGACAGAGUUUUAAACCUUGACCUCAAAUCGGGUGAGACUACCCGCUGAACUUAAGCAUAUCAAUAAGCGGAGGCU